rnacentral:lncRNA from 1 species
AUGCUGACUUCUGUCUGUGUCGUAAACCUGGGUCAGGAGGCCCAAACAUGGCCUGGCUGGCCUGAGAGCAAGUGGCAUGACAGGCCACUCACCUGCUCCAGGCCACCAGGAAGGUCCUGGGUUGCCCAGGUUUCAAUCGCAGCUCCAGACUUACCAGCUCUUUGGCUUUGGCUUCAGAAACCCCAGCUGCAGAAUGGAGCUAAUAAUAAUGCCAAGCCCAGUUUGGAGGACGAGAUGGCGUUCAAGUCCUGGCGGGGACUCCACAAGUGCCGGGCUUGGCUUGAUAGGCUUGAGCUGUAUCAGCCUUUUCUCUUUGAAGGAGCCUCGUAUUUACUGAAGUUCUGGAACCACUGGGCCUGGAGGUGUGGAAGCAAGUGCACUUCCCGGUGCAGAGACCAGCCAGCACGAAGGGAAGGUGAGGGGAGGCAGAGGAGCUACAGGGGCUCGGUUUCACAGAGCCAGGCAGGCCCAGGUGGUAAGGGACCUGGCUGCCAGGCCAAGGAGUUUGGACUUUGGCCUUGGAGAUGUAAAGGUGGGCUUCAGGAAGCCUCUGCAGAAGGCUGCCCUGUUAUUGGUGAUUCAAAGAAAAAAAUAAACCACACUGCUAGGGAAGGGCUGGCCUUUGGUAGAGGUCUGGGCAGCAGCCAGGCACGAGGGCCGCCUGCCUGGGUGUGGCUGGGCACCAGGAGUCCCGUGCUUCCUGCCCAGAGGCCUCCUCCCUCCUUAGCCCUUGACACCCAGCUCACUCUGGUAGUUUCCAGAGAAGCCCCAAGGCCUCUCCUACCCCCACGGGCGGAGACGCUGGGAGCUGCAUGCAUAGGAGGAGCCUUGCCUUGGUCUAGGAGUCUGCGUCAUGCAGAGGGGCCGCCAUGCUCCUCCUGUCCCAAGGGAGGGAGACUGUUUUGGGUUCAGAACCAGGCUGGAUGGAUUCCUUUUCCAGAGGAGCUUCUGUCGGCCGCCCUGCGGCUCCUCUGCUCCGGGGAGGCCACGCGGGCCCUAACCUGCCUCCUCACCACAAGCUACAAGCCUCAUCAGAUGGUCCCUUCAAGGCCAAGUGCUCUGUUGCUCUGCGCAGGCCUGCCUGGGCCUGCACACUCUGACCACCGCCUCCAGCUGGGCUUGGAGACCCUGCCUCUUACGGGCUGGCAGCUCCACUGA